GACGAACGCUGGCGGCGUGCUUAACACAUGCAAGUCGAACGGAAAGGCCCUGCUUUGGUGGGGUGGUCGAGGGGCGAACGGGGGAGUAACACGUGAGUAACCUGUCCUUGACUUUGGGGUAACUUCAGGAAACUGGGGCUAAUACCGGAUAGGAGCUCCUGCUGCAUGGUGGGGGUUGGAAAGAUUCGGCGGUUGGGGAUGGAAUAGCGUCUCAUGAGCUUGUUGGUGGGGUAGUGGCUUACCAAGGCUAGGAAACGUAGCAGGCCUGAGAGGGGGACCUGCCACACUGCGCCUGGGAUGCGACCCAGACCACACCGGUACGGAAGGGUGCAGAGUAUUACACUAGGGACUGAGGCCAAAUGUAGCAACGCCGCGUGGGGGAUGACGGGCUUCGGGUUGUAUACCGCUUCCGCUUGAGACGAAGCGAGAGUGACGGUACUGGGUAAAGAAGCACCGGCUAACUACGUG
rnacentral:rRNA from 1 species